ensembl:lncRNA
CUGAAGUGUAAGGAAUGUUGGAGUGUAAGGAAUACUGUAGUGUAAGGAAUGUUGAAGUGUAAGGAAUGUUGGAGUGUAAGGAAUACUGUAGUGUAAGGAAUGUUGAAGUGUAAGGAAUGUUGAAGUGUAAGGAAUACUGAAGUGUAAGGAAUACUGAUGUGUAAGGAAUACUGAAGUGUAAGGAAUGUUGGAGUGUAAGGAAUACUGUAGUGUAAGGAAUGUUGAAGUGUAAGGAAUGUUGGAGUGUAAGGAAUGUUGGAGUGUAAGGAAUGUUGGGUUGUAAGGAAUGUUGGAGUGUAAGGAAUGUUGAAGUGUAAGGAAUACUGAAGUGUAA